rnacentral:rRNA from 1 species
GACGAACGCUGGCGGCGUGCUUAACACAUGCAAGUCGAACGGAAAGGCCCUGCUUUUGUGGGGUGCUCGAGUGGCGAACGGGUGAGUAACACGUGAGUAACCUGCCCUUGACUUUGGGAUAACUUCAGGAAACUGGGGCUAAUACCGGAUAGGAGCUCCUGCUGCAUGGUGGGGGUUGGAAAGUUUCGGCGGUUCGGGAUGGACUCGCGGCUUAUCAGCUUGUUGGUGGGGUAGUGGCUUACCAAGGCUUUGACGGGUAGCCGGCCUGAGAGGGUGACCGGCCACAUUGGGACUGAGAUACGGCCCAGACUCCUACGGGAGGCAGCAGUGGGGAAUAUUGCACAAUGGGCGGAAGCCUGAUGCAGCAACGCCGCGUGCGGGAUGACGGCCUUCGGGUUGUAAACCGCUUUCGCCUGUGACGAAGCGUGAGUGACGGUAACGGGUAAAGAAGCACCGGCUAACUACGUG